rnacentral:lncRNA from 1 species
GUCCUAACCUAUUUAUCAACCCAGGUCCUAACCUAUUUAUCAACCCAGGUCCUAGUCUAUUUAUCAACCCAGGUCCUAGCCUAUUUAUCAACCCAGGUCCUAGCCUAUUUAUCAACCCAGGUCCUAGCCUAUUUAUCAACCCAGGUCCUAGCCUAUUUAUCAACCCAGGUCCUAGCCUAUUUAUCAUCCCAGGUCCUAGCCUAUUUAUCAACACAGGUCCUAGUCUAUUUAUCAACCCAGGUCCUAGCCUAUUUAUCAACCCAGGUCCUAGUCUAUUUAUUAGCCCAGGUCCUAGUCUAUUUAUCAACCCAGGUCCUAGCCUAUUUAUCAACCCAGGUCCUAGCCUCUUUAUCAACCCAGGUCCUAGCCUCUUUAUCAACCCAGGUCCUAGCUUAUUUACCAACCCAGGUCCUAGCCUAUUUAUCAACACAGGGACUAGUUUAUUAAUCAACCCAGGUCCUAACCUAUUUAUCAACCCAGGUCCUAGCCUAUUUAUCAACCUAGGUCCUAGGCUAUUUAUCAACCCAGGUCCUAG